ACCUAGCCCCGAUUGAAGCGGCAUCCCUCGCUUUUUUUGGCGAGGAUACAGCGGAAAGCGGGACAAAUU
rnacentral:sRNA from 1 species